AACCUUAUGGACCUGCGGGCGUAUACCUGCGGAAGGAUCAUUACAACGAAAAAACGCUCCCGAAAGGGACGUUAUUUCACACCAUUGUGUACCAAACUUUUGUUGCCUCGGUGGGUCGGGCUGCGCCUACCCGGCCAGUCCCCCUUAGGGAGCCGCCCACCGCAGGACCUUUCAAACCAGUUCGUUGAUGAACGUCUGAUUUUAUCUUUUAAAGAAAUACAACUUUCAACAAUGGAUCUC
rnacentral:misc_RNA from 1 species